rnacentral:rRNA from 1 species
UUGAACGCUGGCGGCAGGCCUAACACAUGCAAGUUCGAACGGUAACAGGAAGCAGCUUGCUGCUUCGCUGACGAGUGGCGGACGGGUGAGUAAUGUCUGGGAAGCUGCCUGAUGGAGGGGGAUAACUACUGGAAACGGUAGCUAAUACCGCAUAAUGUCGCAAGACCAAAGAGGGGGACCUUCGGGCCUCUUGCCAUCGGAUGUGCCCAGAUGGGAUUAGCUUGUUGGUGGGGUAACGGCUCACCAAGGCGGCGAUCCCUAGCUGGUCUGAGAGGAUGACCAGCCACACUGGAACUGAGACACGGUCCAGACUCCUACGGGAGGCAGCAGUGGGGAAUAUUGCACAAUGGGCGCAAGCCUGAUGCAGCCAUGCCGCGUGUAUGAAGAAGGCCUUC